GACGAACGCUGGCGGCGUGCUUAACACAUGCAAGUCGAACGGAAAGGCCCUGCUUUUGUGGGGUGCUCGAGUGGCGAACGGGUGAGUAACACGUGAGUAACCUGCCCUUGACUUUGGGAUAACUUCAGGAAACUGGGGCUAAUACCGGAUCGGAGCUCCUGCUGCAUGGUGGGGGGUGGAAAGUUUCGGCGGUUGGGGAUGGACUCGCGGCUUAUCAGCUUGUUGGUGGGGUAGUGGCUUACCAAGGCUUUGACGGGUAGCCGGCCUGAGAGGGUGACCGGCCACAUUGGUACUGAGAUACGGCCCAGACUCCUACGGGAGGCAGCAGUGGGGAAUAUUGCACAAUGGGCGGAAGCCUGAUGCAGCAACGCCGCGUGCGGGAUGACGGCCUUCGGGUUGUAAACCGCUUUCGCCUGUGACGAAGCGUGAGUGACGGUAAUGGGUAAAGAAGCACCGGCUAACUACGUG
rnacentral:rRNA from 1 species